rnacentral:rRNA from 1 species
UGCAAGCGUUAUCCGGAUUCACUGGGUUUAAAGGGUGCGCAGGUGGGCAGGUAAGUCAGUGGUGAAAUCUCCGGGCUUAACCCGGAAACUGCCAUUGAUACUAUCUGCCUUGAAUACCGUGGAGGUGAGCGGAAUAUGUCAUGUAGCGGUGAAAUGCUUAGAUAUGACCCGGAACACCGAUUGCGAAGGCAGCCCACUAAGCAACGAUUGACGCUGAGGCACGAAAGCGUGGGGAUCAAACAGG